AAAGUGGUACAACAUUGACAGUGGGGUAACAUUGACACAUCUUUGAAUUUUCCCUCUCUAAAAAAAUGCAGGUCUGAAAAUAAAGAUAUUUCUGGUUGGAUUAUCUAGGAGGCAUUAUUGUAGACAUCUCCCACUAAAUUCAAGUAUAGGUUAUGUAUCAUACAGCUGUAAUUUGAGUACCUUUUCAGACUGACACUGAAUGACCAAAUUUUUACGAAUUGAAACUUUCAGUAAAAACACAUAUUCAUAAAGAUACAAUGACACGACCAGAUCAACCAACUGCCAAGAAAAGGAUCUACAAAACCUACAAUGAAGAAAGAAUGAAGAGAGCUGUUCAAGAUGUAAAUCAAGGUAAAUACAGUGUAAAAAAGGCUUCUGAACUCUAUGGGAUAAACCGGACAACACUCAUGAAUCAUGUAAAGGGAUAUAAGUGCAAAAAAAUAGGCCAUCCUACAGUUUUAAGUUUUGAGGAGGAAAAAUUGUUGGUG